GACGAACGCUGGCGGCGUGCUUAACACAUGCAAGUCGAACGGAAAGGCCCUGCUUUUGUGGGGUGCUCGAGUGGCGAACGGGUGAGUAACACGUGAGUAACCUGCCCUUGACUUUGGGAUAACUUCAGGAAACUGGGGCUAAUACCGGAUAGGAGCUCCUGCUGCAUGGUGGGGGUUGGAAAGUUUCGGCGGUUGGGGAUGGACUCGCGGCUUAUCAGCUUGUUGGUGGGGUAGUGGCUUACCAAGGCUUUGACGGGUAGCCGGCCUGGGAGGGUGACCGGCCACAUUGGGACUGCGAUACGGCCCAGACUCGUACGGGAGGCAGCAGUGGGGAAUAUUACACAAUGGGCGGGAGCCUGAUGCAGCGACGCCGCGUGCGGGAUGACGGCCUUCGGGUUAUAAACCGCUUUCGCCUGUGACGAAGCGUGAGUGACGGUAAUGGGUAAAGAAGCACCGGCUAACUACGUG
rnacentral:rRNA from 1 species